AUUGAACGCUGGCGGCAUGCCUUACACAUGCAAGUCGAACGGUAACAGGGAGCUUGCUCCGCUGACGAGUGGCGAACGGGUGAGUAAUGUAUCGGAACGUACCUUUCAGUGGGGGAUAACGUAGCGAAAGUUACGCUAAUACCGCAUAUUCUGUGAGCAGGAAAGCAGGGGAUCGCAAGACCUUGCGCUGAUUGAGCGGCCGAUAUCAGAUUAGCUAGUGGGUGAGGUAAAGGCUCACCAAGGCGACGAUCUGUAGCGGGGCUGAGAGGAUGAUCCGCCACACUGAAACUGAGACACGGUCCAGACUCCUACGGGAGGCAGCAGUGGGGAAUUUUGGACAAUGGGGGCAACCCUGAUCCAGCAAUGCCGCGUGAGUGAAGAAGGCCUUCGGGUUGUAAAGCUCUUUCGGCCGGGAAGAAAUCGCAUGGGUUAAUACCCUGUGCGGAUGACGGUACCGGCAUAAGAAGCACCGGCUAACUACGUGCCAGCCGCCGCCGUAAAAC
rnacentral:rRNA from 1 species